rnacentral:rRNA from 1 species
AGUGAACGCUGGCGGUAGGCCUAGCACAUGCAAGUCGAACGGCAGCACAGUAAGAGCUUGCUCUUACGGGUGGCGAGUGGCGGACGGGUGAGGAAUACAUCGGAAUCUACUUUUUCGUGGGGGAUAACGUAGGGAAACUUACGCUAAUACCGCAUACGACCUACGGGUGAGAGCAGGGGAUCUUCGGACCUUGCGCGAUUGAAUGAGCCGAUGUCGGAUUAGCUAGUUGGCGGGGUAAAGGCCCACCAAGGCGACGAUCCGUAGCUGGUCUGAGAGGAUGAUCAGCCACACUGGAACUGAGACACGGUCCAGACUCCUACGGGAGGCAGCAGUGGGGAAUAUUGGACAAUGGGCGCAAGCCUGAUCCAGCCAUACCGCGUGGGUGAAGAAGGCCUUCGGGUUGUAAAGCCCUUUUGUUGGGAAAGAAAAGCAGCAGGUUAAUACCCCGCUGUUCUGACGGUACCCAAAGAAUAAGCACCGGCUAACUUCGUG